GACGAACGCUGGCGGCGUGCUUAACACAUGCAGGUCGAACGGAAAGGCCCUGCUUUUGUGGGGUGCUCGAGUGGCGAACGGGUGAGUAACACGUGAGUAACCUGCCCUUGACUUUGGGAUAACUUCAGGAAACUGGGGCUAAUACCGGAUAGGAGCUCCUGCUGCAUGGUGGGGGUUGGAAAGUUUCGGCGGUUGGGGAUGGACUCGCGGCUUAUCAGCUUGUUGGUGGGGGAGUGGCUUACCAAGGCUUUGACGGGUAGCCGGCCUGAGAGGGUGACCGGCCACAUUGGGACUGCGAUACGGCCCAGACUCCUACGGGAGGCAGCAGUGGGGAAUAUUGCACAAUGGGCGGAAGCCUGAUGCAGCAACGCCGCGUGCGGGAUGACGGCCUUCGGGUUGUAAACCGCUUUCGCCUGUGACGAAGCGUGAGUGACGGUAAUGGGUAAAGAAGCACCGGCUAACUACGUG
rnacentral:rRNA from 1 species